GUGGUCAGACUAGAGACGGCUGGUAGAGCCGUAGUACGAACCAACUGGAGGAUGCACAUCUCUGUUCCUCUCCAGACAGACCUGAGGAAGUUCAGGACGUAUAAAGGGAACUCAGUCAGAGACCUGCUCCGAGCCAUGAGAAAUAAGACAUGAGGAAUAAGGGAAACAUGCUGCUCUUUUACAGCUGUUCCAACAAUGUGUUGUAGUUAGUAGUGGUGAAUGAUGAAAUGGUUGGAGGAUAGUGUUGAACUUCCUGUCUCUCCCUCUCUCUCUUCCUGUC